UACAGAGGUCCCGAGCGUUGUUCGGAUUUAUUGGGCGUAAAGGGUGCGUAGGCGGCGGAGUAAGUUGGGUGUGAAAUCCCGGGGCUUAACCUCGGAAUUGCAUUCAAUACUGCUUCGCUUGAGUACUGGAGAGGAGGCUGGAAUUUACGGUGUAGCAGUGAAAUGCGUAGAUAUCGUAAGGAAGGCCGGUGGCGAAAGCGGCACUCUGGGCCGGUACUGACGCUGAGGAGCGAAAGCGUGGGGAGCGAACAGG
rnacentral:rRNA from 1 species